GGUCCCGCCUGCCCAGUGACCCCUUCAACGGCCGCGGUAUCCUAACCGUGCAAAGGUAGCAUAAUCACUUGUCCUUUAAAUAAGGACUAGAAUGAACGGCUAAAUGAGGACUAAACUGUCUCUUGUAGUUGACCAAUGAAACUGAUCUUACAGUCCAAAAGCUGUAAUAAACACACAAGACGAGAAGACCCUGUGGAGCUUUAAAACCAAGCCUCAAUCAUUUUGUUGUCCUUGGUUUUUAGUUGGGGCGACUUCGGAGUACAAAAAAACCCCCGAUAUGGAACCUCCCACAUCAAGGUUAACACACCAAAAUUAAUCUUGACCCAGUAAUACUUAUAUUAUCUGAUCAACGAACCAAGUUACCCCAGGGAUAACAGCGCCAUCCCCUUCUAGAGUCCCUAUCGACAAGGGGGUUUACGACCUCGAUGUUGGAUCAGGACACCCAAAUAGUGCAGCCGCUAUUAAAGGUUCGUUUGUUCAACGAUUAAUAGUCCUA
rnacentral:rRNA from 1 species